rnacentral:rRNA from 1 species
GAUGAACGCUGGCUACAGGCUUAACACAUGCAAGUCGAGGGGAAACGCCAUCGAAAGCUUGCUUUUGAUGGGCGUCGACCGGCGCACGGGUGAGUAACGCGUAUCCAACCUGCCCAUCACUUGGGAAUAACCUUGCGAAAGUAAGACUAAUACCCAAUGAUAUCCCACGAAGGCAUCGGAAUGGGAUUAAAGAUUUAUCGGUGAUGGAUGGGGAUGCGUCUGAUUAGCUUGUUGGCGGGGUAACGGCCCACCAAGGCAACGAUCAGUAGGGGUUCUGAGAGGAAGGUCCCCCACAUUGGAACUGAGACACGGUCCAAACUCCUACGGGAGGCAGCAGUGAGGAAUAUUGGUCAAUGGGCGAGAGCCUGAACCAGCCAAGUAGCGUGCAGGAAGACGGCCCUAUGGGUUGUAAACUGCUUUUAUAAGGGAAUAAAGUGGGUCACGUGUGACUUUUUGCAUGUACCUUAUGAAUAAGGACCGGCUAAUUCCGUG